AUUUUUUCAAUCUUUAUUAAUAAUUUUUUAUUUUAUUACUUUAAAUAACUAACUUAUGUACUAACUUCAUUAAUAUUUCUAAUAACCAAACCUGCCCCUCUACUAGAUCCCAGCACUGCUCUGCACCAGACGACCUCCGAGUCCUCUGCCACAGUGUCGUAUUACACACCUGAGUUUAACAUGCUGAGUUCUUCUCUUUGUUUCUGAAGUGAAGAUAUUUUUCCUUCUCGGGAGAGUCGCUCACCUCCUGCUGAGCAUCUCCUCUCACACUGCUGCCUCUUCCUCUCUGACAGAAAACUGCUCUUUAAGACAUCAGUGAGUCUUCUUUUCCACUUCAUAUUCACGCAGAGCUGCGUUCGUCUGUGGAGGAAACACUCAGCAGACUUCAGUUAACACCGGAGAUUCACCGCCAGUCUGCCUGAAGCUGUUUGAACGAAGCGACGGGAUGCUUAUGAGGAGGUUCUGCUUCACAACAUCAGACCGAAACCCAGUUGAUAUGCUGAGGACAUAAAAUAAACAACUUCAAUCUCACGCAAGCAGACAAGCUCAAAGGUCACAACAGCUGGCUUGCUUUUAAAAGGAUUACAUGUAUGUAUCCAGUGCCAGGAUGUCAUUUCUGACCUCCAACAGAGAUGAAACAUACAGAUCUUUUUUACCCUCCCUGACCUGAAAAUCAGUCUCAGAGCUGUUCGCCACCGCCUGACCUUGAUGACAAAAACCUUCCAUGAGCCUGGAGAAAAGUCUGCUCGCCCACAGAGAGCUUUCAGCGCUGUUGGUAAUUGGAUCCUGGUCUUCCUCUGCCCUCCGUCGCUCCUCUCUGUUCUCUCCGCUGGAGGUGUCAUCAUCGGUGCUCUAAUAAGGCGAAGGCCACAAACGCCUUCAGCGAGUCAUUAUUCACAGUAAUGACUUCUCACUCACCUCUGAAUACACUCAGCUCCUCACUUACAGGACAAGUUGUAUCUGUGCACACCGAGCUGGACCUCAGACUCAGGUCAUCAGAUACUAAAACCCAAGAACAGAUUUUACAGGCUUGUUUCAUCCCUUUAAAUAAAAUGUUCUUAUAUUCACAGCG